rnacentral:rRNA from 1 species
AUUGAACGCUGGCGGCAUGCCUUACACAUGCAAGUCGAACGGCAGCACGGGUGCUUGCACCUGGUGGCGAGUGGCGAACGGGUGAGUGAUACAUCGGAACAUGUCCUGUAGUGGGGGAUAGCCCGGCGAAAGCCGGAUUAAUACCGCAUACGAUCUACGGAUUAAAGCGGGGGACCUUCGGGCCUCGCGCUAUCGGGUUGGCCGAUGGCUGAUUAGCUAGUUGGUGGGGUAAAGGCCUACCAAGGCGACGAUCAGUAGCUGGUCUGAGAGGACGACCAGCCACACUGGGACUGAGACACGGCCCAGACUCCUACGGGAGGCAGCAGUGGGGAAUUUUGGACAAUGGGCGAAAGCCUGAUCCAGCAAUGCCGCGUGUGUGAAGAAGGCCUUCGGGUUGUAAAGCACUUUUGUCCGGAAAGAAAUCCUUGGCCCUAAUACGGUCGGGGGAUGACGGUACCGGAAGAAUAAGCACCGGCUAACUACGUG